CAUAAAGAGACUAGUCUGCAGUUUAAACGAAUCGCCUGGCAGCAGCGCGGUAAUCGAGGUGCAGCGUAUCGACUACUGGCGUAAGCGUACGCAGUGGUAUAGUCAGAUGUGAAUCCCUAAGCUACUAGAACUGCAUUGAACUGAUAGCUAGAGUUUUGUAGAGGGGGUAGAAUUCAGUGUAGCGGUGAAAUGCGUAGAGAUCUGGAGGAAUACAGUGGCGAAGGCGACCCCCUGGACAAAGACUGACACUCAUGUACGAAAGCGCGGGGAGCAAACAGGAUUAGAUACCCUGGUAGUCCAUGCUGUAAACAAUGUCAAUUUGAAGGUUGUAGCCUUGAGUUAUAGCUUUCGUAGCUAACGCGUUAAAUUGACCGCCUGGGGAGUACGGCCGCAAGGUUAAAACUCAAAUGAAUUGACGGGGGCCCGCACAAGCGGUGGAGCAUGUGGUUUAAUUCGAUGCAACGCGAAAAACCUUACCUAUUCCUGACAUCCAAAGAAUAAAACAGAAAUGUUUUAGUGCCUUAGGGAACUUUGAGACAGGUGCUGCAUGGCUGUCGUCAGCUCGUGUUGUGAAAUGUUGGGUUAAGUCCCGCAACGAGCGCAACCCCUAUCCUUUGUUGCCAUCGAGUAAAGUCGGGAACUCAAAGGAGACUGCUGGUGAUAAACCGGAGGAAGGUGGGGACGACGUCAAGUCAUCAUGGCCCUUACGAAUAGGGCUACACACGUGCUACAAUGGCAUAUACAAAGAGAAGCGAUCUUGCAAAAGCUAGCAAAUCUCAUAAAGUAUGUCGUAGUUCGGAUUGGAGUCUGCAACUCGACUCCAUGAAGUCGGAAUCGCUAGUAAUCGUAGAUCAGAAUGCUACGGUGAAUACGUUCCCGGGCCUUGUACACACCGCCCGUC
rnacentral:rRNA from 1 species